AGGGUUCGAUUCUGGCUCAGGAUGAACGCUGGCGGCGUGCUUAACACAUGCAAGUCGAACGCUGAAGCUCCCAGCUUGCUGGGGGUGGAUGAGUGGCGAACGGGUGAGUAUCACGUGAGUAACCUGCCCUUGACUCUGGGAUAAGCCCGGGAAACUGGGUCUAAUACUGGAUAGGGGACUGGCCAUCGCAUGGUGGUUGGUUGAAAGCUUUUGCGGUUUUGGAUGGACUCGCGGCCUAUCAGCUUGUUGGUGGGGUAAUGGCCUACCAAGGCUUUGACGGGUAGCCGGCCUGAGAGGGUGACCGGCCACACUGGGACUGAGACACGGCCCAGACUCCUACGGGAGGCAGCAGUGGGGGAUAUUGCACAAUGGGCGCAAGCCUGAUGCAGCGACGCCGCGUGAGGGAUGACGGCCUUCGGGUUGUAAACCUCUUUCAGUUGGGAAGAAGCCUUUCGGGGUGACGGUACCUUCAGAAGAAGCACCGGCUAACUACGUGCCAGCAGCUGC
rnacentral:rRNA from 1 species